GAAGCGAUCUGGUCGCGCCAUUUGUCACCCUGCUGACCGCCCAGGUGGAUUCGGCCAGUCCGUUGGCCAGGCCUUUCCUCCCUCACAGCUCCACGUGCAGUCGAGGAGGACGCCCACCCCCGGUGGAGGAGGACCGGUCUCCCGUCAAGGGCAUACGAGUAGCUGUGCUCCCCUGCUAGAACCUCCAAACGAGCUCUCAAGAGGGCUGUGAUUCACCCGAAGGGUUCCAAGGCCCACAUCCUCUUGCACCAGCUGGGCAUCCUGGGCAGGGCCCAGCU
rnacentral:snRNA from 1 species